UUUGACCUCAGAUCAGGCAAGACUACCCGCUGAAUUUAAGCAUAUUAAUAAGCGGAGGAAAAGAAACUACCAAGGAUUCCCUCAGUAACGGCGAGUGAAGUGGGAAUGGCUCAAGCUUGAAAUCUCUGUUGCUUGCAACAGCGAAUUGUAGUCUCGAGAAGCGUUUUCCCGGCGGAUCUAUCCUGCCUAAGUUGCUUGGAACAGCACAUCAGAGAGGGUGACAAUCCCGUUCGUGGCAGGGCAGACCGUUCAUGAUACGCUUUCUAUGAGUCGGGUUGCUUGGGAAUGCAGCCCAAAAUUGGUGGUAAACUCCAUCUAAAGCUAAAUAUUGCCACGANACCGAUAGCAAACAAGU
rnacentral:rRNA from 2 species